UACGGAGGGUGCAAGCGUUAAUCGGAAUUACUGGGCGUAAAGCGCACGCAGGCGGUCUGUCAAGUCGGAUGUGAAAUCCCCGGGCUCAACCUGGGAACUGCAUUCGAAACUGGCAGGCUAGAGUCUUGUAGAGGGGGGUAGAAUUCCAGGUGUAGCGGUGAAAUGCGUAGAGAUCUGGAGGAAUACCGGUGGCGAAGGCGGCCCCCUGGACAAAGACUGACGCUCAGGUGCGAAAGCGUGGGGAGCAAGCAGG
rnacentral:rRNA from 1 species